rnacentral:rRNA from 1 species
ACAAAUAGGUGAACCUGCCAACCCGGCAACCCGCCCGCCUAUGCGUGCUUGUAGAGCUCUAGGGGCGGGAGGCAGGGCGCGCGAGCUGCGAGGCGGCAGGCAAAGCGGGAGGCUUCUAGCCGGAGUAGGUGGUGGUGGUGGUGGUGGAAGCGGGCGGCAGAGGAGGGAGGGGGUGAGCGCAGGGCCGGCAGAGGAAAGAAAUUAGCUUUUUUAAGAAGGGCUUAAGAGGAGGUAGGGGGGUGAUUAGGGUGGCCACUAGGGAAAGGGAUUACGAUUGCUACUCGUCAGCGGCGCUGAAGAGGUGCGGAUUGGGGAGGGGAGGGAAGGCGCGAAGAAGAAGAAGGAGAGGAAGAAGGACCGCAAGGCAUGACUAAGCCAGCAGCGCGGACCCAAGCUAAACUGGCGGGGGUGGUGGACAGAAUAGGCGGGCACGUUGGCGAGCCCGGCAAGCAAAGAACCAAGGAGCGAGUAGCCAAAAGAACGCGACCAAACCCCUAAUAACCCUCGUUAUGAACAGGUCAAGAAGUGAGACGUAUGGUACACUUGUUCAAACUUCCAUCCCGGUAUGGACACGACGGCACGUCGUGUUACUAUAGAUGAUUCUGCGGUGUAACCACUAACAACAUUAAUAUAACAAGUUUUCAUAUCUUUUCUCUGCAACUUCUUUUAGCUGUAUCUAAACACUGCCACCUAUGACCAAUACCUUCCAUAUAAUAAUUAGUCUUGUCAAACUUAGCUUUGCUCUGUUACUCGUUUUACUACUAAAUUGGCCUGAAGGGUCUCGGAAAUGACAAUACCUCUAAAGUAGUGUACUUGGUAGUCUUCGUCUUUAAAAUUAACCUGUACUUCUACUGUGUCUUAACUGUGGUACGCUUCCAUACCUUAAACUCAGACUUCUACGACGUUCCCUAAAAAUGUCGAACAUACGCUCUGUACGUCCAAAAGCUUAAGCCUAGUCGUCCAUAUGGGCGAGGUCUGCACUAUUAAGUUAGUAAAGAGCAGCAUAACAUACGAGUUUCCUCCCUAAAGUACUUUGUGCAUUGACACUUCCGGAGGUGGGACUGGUUUUUGUCGUUCUUGCCUGUCCAUGAUCUCAACCAACGUUCCGAUACUAUUACUAUUUUUUUUAACUAGGACCGUUUACCCAUCAAUGAUUUAAACACUUUUGGGUAUUAGUACCUAGUCAAGGUGGUUCUUUUGAACUAUAAUCCAGUCGUGUAGUCCUGGAAUUAGGUCAACUUUUCGGUGUAAGACGGCUCCUUCUGGGACAACUCCUUGGCCAACUCCCUUACCUUAAACUAAGACUUCUUUGGCGUUUUAACAAGAUAUAUUUAAUACGCUCCGAAUUACCAAAAGCACGUGCAUAAUCGUCCAUAACGGCAAGUUCUGCACUAUUAAGUUAGUAAAGAGCGGUCUAACACACGAGGUUCCUUCCGAAGGCACUUCAAGCUCGGUUCUUUCUCUAAUGUCUGCUUCCCUUUUGCUUCGCGGGUUCUUACUAAUGAUCUCAACCAACGUUUCGAUACUAACACCACUUUUUCUACUUGAGACCUUUUACCUACCAUAGAUUUAAACUCUUCCUCGUAUUAGUAAGCAACAAUAGAAGAUUUGUCCGGGGAUCAUGUAGCUUGUAAUGAAGACCUCUUUUACGACUUAAACGACGUUUCUCAAGUCUAGGACUACUUCGCUUCCAACUCCUUAUAUCACGUCCCUAAGUUACAUUAAGAUGUCUAAGUGAGUGACAUGAAAUGUUGGUUAAUACAGUCCUUCGAUAUUUUAAACGUUUUCUUCCUAGUCAGUGUCUUCUUUAAAUGGUACACCGCUACAGACGGAACUUUCUCCGCCGUCUCUUCCAACGAGUUGAGUUUUCAACAGUAGGUUGUUACGGCGUGGCACCUCAAAGAUCAUCACUUUCAUUUGUAUUCCAGCAUGUCUACUUUUGUUACUCACGAAGCGUUACAAGUCUACACCGGUUUGUCUUUUGUUGUGGAAGCGUCGAGUGCUACAAAGUUCUCAGAUGGAGGUUUGAUUACAAGUAAGGAUGGUUGGACAAUUGACUAAGUCCGAAUCGAUUAAGACUAUUGUUAGUAGGCAGUAACACACGAAAGUGGAGUUCACCCUCUGUUACGUCCGUACCUAGUCUUACAAGAAUAAACGUACGACUUUUGUCUUUCCUCCUGACAGGACUCUUUAUAGUCUUAUCGUGAAGCUCAGCCCGUUGUGUCCCUUUAGUAAGUUGGAUAGUACCUGUAAGACUUCUUUGAUGUCAACGAUAAGGACGAUAUGGAGACUGCGAUAUGUACGGAAACAGCUCCUUAAGUGGACCUCGAAGACGACUACCUGUCAUGUUUAACAACCGACGUGGAUAACUUCGUCAAGGUUAAAGUAUGGCGGGGCGUCUUGGGUAGUCUGUUGGUUUUUCUUCAAAAACAUUAAAUCCAGGUAACGGUCCACAAUACAGACUUGACUGGUCCGCUCUUUUUCCAGGUGUGGGAGAACACGUACGAUGUCGAGAACGAACACCACGAGCACAACAAGGACAACUCCUCCGUCGAAGCGACUAGUUCCGGUAGCUCAGGUUCUAGUCUAGACCUCCUCGGUUUUAUCGUUCUAAUGGAAGUUCGUCCGACUGUGCAGAUCAAGGACUCCGCCAGAGGUACAGUAGCAGAUCACUUCUACCACUCCUGUUACUGGUGUCACUCGGUGGCCGCCACUUACAGCGUCCGAUGACGGUACUACUAGUCUAUAGACUCCUUUACUUCAACGUUCCACUCCGUAGUCUCAACCUUUGACUAAGACUCUUAACAAGACCCGUACUUUUGGUACUAUGACGACUAACGACUGUCUACUACUGACUUCCUCCUUUCAACAGACUUCUACAUUAAAAGACUUGGUAUUUCGACAUACUUCUAGCUUCGAUGGGACGUUCCAUCAUUUAAAUAUGAUAUUAAAUCUUGUAAACACAUAUUUAACCUAAAUCCUAAGAUUGGUGAACAGAGUACAACUAAUAUCUGACAUUAACCCAAUUGAGUUUAUCAAUUGAGGUAACUUCCCAAAACAUUUUUUUUUCUUGGUGGGAACGUCACAACCACCUAUUAGACAUGUACUUGAUGAAAAUAUCUUUCGUUUCUAUUUACGUAAGUAUGAAGUUGACUGAGAUAGAACGACCUCUCUUGAAAAUCGUCAGUUAUUACGAUACUAGCAAAACUUUUAUUAUUAAAAUACUAGUUUAAGCUACUACCAAAACGAAGAAGCGUAGGUAAGACAUCGUUGAAGAAACAUUCGUUUGUGCAUGGCCCUCAAGUCGUAAAAUGUAUAGACAGUUUUCGUGUGG